CUCUGCGAAGUCGAGAGACGACGUAUAGGGUCUGACGCCUGCCCGGUGCUGGAAGGUCAAGGGGAGGAGUGCAAGCUCCGAACCGAAGCCCCAGUAAACGGCGGCCGUAACAAUAACGGUCCUAAGGUAGCGAAAUUCCUUGUCGGGUAAGUUCCGACCUGCACGAAUGGCGUAACGACCUCCCCACUGUCUCCAGCAUGGGCUCAGCGAAAUUGAAUUCCCCGUGAAGAUGCGGGGUACCCGCGGUCAGACGGAAAGACCCUAUGAACCUUUACUGCAGCUUCGCAGUGGCGCCAGGAAGGGACUGUGUAGGAUAGGUGGGAGGCUUUGAAGCCGGGGCGCUAGCUUCGGUGGAGCCAACCUUGAAAUACCACCCCUGUGCCUUUCUGGCGUCUAACCGAGCCCCGUCACCCG
rnacentral:rRNA from 1 species